rnacentral:rRNA from 1 species
CGAGCGGACAGAAGGGAGCUUGCUCCCGGAUGUUAGCGGCGGACGGGUGAGUAACACGUGGGUAACCUGCCUGUAAGACUGGGAUAACUCCGGGAAACCGGAGCUAAUACCGGAUAGUUCCUUGAACCGCAUGGUUCAAGGAUGAAAGACGGUUUCGGCUGUCACUUACAGAUGGACCCGCGGCGCAUUAGCUAGUUGGUGGGGUAAUGGCUCACCAAGGCGACGAUGCGUAGCCGACCUGAGAGGGUGAUCGGCCACACUGGGACUGAGACACGGCCCAGACUCCUACGGGAGGCAGCAGUAGGGAAUCUUCCGCAAUGGACGAAAGUCUGACGGAGCAACGCCGCGUGAGUGAUGAAGGUUUUCGGAUCGUAAAGCUCUGUUGUUAGGGAAGAACAAGUGCGAGAGUAACUGCUCGCACCUUGACGGUACCUAACCAGAAAGCCACGGCUAACUACGUGCCAGCAGCCGCGGUAAUACGUAGGUGGCAAGCGUUGUCCGGAAUUAUUGGGCGUAAAGGGCUCGCAGGCGGUUUCUUAAGUCUGAUGUGAAAGCCCCCGGCUCAACCGGGGAGGGUCAUUGGAAACUGGGAAACUUGAGUGCAGAAGAGGAGAGUGGAAUUCCACGUGUAGCGGUGAAAUGCGUAGAGAUGUGGAGGAACACCAGUGGCGAAGGCGACUCUCUGGUCUGUAACUGACGCUGAGGAGCGAAAGCGUGGGGAGCGAACAGGAUUAGAUACCCUGGUAGUCCACGCCGUAAACGAUGAGUGCUAAGUGUUAGGGGGUUUCCGCCCCUUAGUGCUGCAGCUAACGCAUUAAGCACUCCGCCUGGGGAGUACGGUCGCAAGACUGAAACUCAAAGGAAUUGACGGGGGCCCGCACAAGC